GCUCAGCGCCGGCCGUGCUGCCGCCGCGGGGCUCCCCCCCGCCUGCCUCGGAGGGGGUCCCCUGCCGCUGCACAGGGCGAGCUCCUGGGGGACCGGACCGGACCGGCCCUCCUCAGGACGGCUCCCCUCCGUAAGCGCUCUUCGGUGGACCUAACGCCCCUCCGGUGUCCUUUGAAACAGCGAGCUGAAAAAGGAACUGCGCCACCGAGCCUCGCGGCCAGCCUGCCUCACCUACUUAAGAGCAUCAUCCGGAAAUUUCGAGCCCACAGCCUGUGUGUGAAGAUGGCAACUUUCAAAAGGAUGCUCAGUGUGGAGUAAAGAUUGUGAGGAAUGAUGAAACCAUCCUAGCCUGAGCCAGAACACCUGCCUUAGCUGCACUCCAGUGCUGUGACAGCCACUGUCCCCUUCUGCAUCCUUACAAGAGACCUCACGACCUGGCAGGGCUUUGCAUUUUGUAUUUAACAAGAUCUUUGUAAAGGUGCAAAAGGUAA